UCUAAAUGAACACCUCACUAAGAAGACUGUUGACAUUGCAAGACAGGCACAUAUUUUAAGAAGACAAAACAAGAUUCAAUCAAUAUGGACAAUAACUUGCGAAAUAAAGAUUCGGCUGGAAGGGACACCUGAGGAAGCCAAAGUCCUCAUGAUAAGGGAUCUUAAAGAUCUGGACCAGUACACAUGAAGAACUACAACAGAUUGACUGUGGCCACAUGGAGCACUUUUAAUGGACAUUAAAAGAAAACAAUCAGCUCACGUGAGGAACACUUCGUUCUUUAUUUAAUUGACUGGUUGGAGGAGGAAUUUAGGUUUUAGAGAUAUUAAAAAAAACAAUCUGCUCACGUGAGGAACACUUCGUUCUUUAUUUAAUUGACUGGGUGUGAGGAGGACUUUUGGUUCCCAUUUAAAGACAGUAAAAAUGAAGAGCUUGUUUAUUUUUUAAAGGACUUUGAUGCUGAACACCAGGCAUGAAAACUACAUGGGAAAUUAUGAACUUUAGGACCUUUGAUUACAGCGAACAUAAAUCGUAUGACUUUGGGGAUCCUAUUGAUCCAGAAAAAUCCCUUCUAUAAUAAUAUCAACAGUAACUAAUGGCACAGUGACAAGUUAAUGCACCACCUCAUUCACCUGUUGACCUCUGAUCAACCUGUCCCAGGUUCCUGCCACUGAUGGAGGAGGGUUUCCUUUUUGUGGAGAGUUUGAUUGAACGUUAUGGUUAAUUAGCAAUAAGGUUAGCUGGACUCUCCCUUAGAGAGAGGCUGAGAG